rnacentral:tRNA from 1 species
GCCAGGAUGGCUGAGUGGACAAAAGCACGAGUCUGUAAAACUCGCGCCUCACGGCUUCCCAGGUUCGAAUCCUGGUCCUGGCA